GGCGGAGGGAACUUAGGUGGCUAUGGCCGGGAGGAGGGUCUGGGAGGUUAUGGAGCGUCUAGCUAUAGCGGUGGGUAUGAAUCUGGUGCUGGUGCUGCCUAUGGUUCUGGUGGUCUGUAUGGAGGAGGCCGUGGAGGAGGUUAUGGAGGUGGUGCUGGCCGAUACCAUCCUUAUGGGCGCUAGGGCGAAAACAAUAUUUGAUUGCUAGUCAGACCGCUAGAUCUUUGCAACUUUAAUAGAAUCUGCUUGUUAGAAGUUUACUUAGCCGCCCAAAGUCUAUUCUAGCUGGCUAUUCUUGAGGGAAAGAUCUGUGUGCUGUAACAUUUGAUCUUUAACUGUUUUUACCUUUUGCAUUCAUGAGGGAAAGAUCUGUGAGCUGUAACAUUUGAUUGUAACUUUUCUUUCCUUUUGGUAACUUUUCUUUCCUUUUGGUUGUCAGGUUAUCGUAGAAUAUUAAGC
rnacentral:misc_RNA from 1 species